GCCUUAAAGGUUCUUCAAGCUGAAGAAAGCAAAACUUUAAUUAAAACUCUCAUCAAUUUCCUUAUUUCGGAUAAGAACAACACACCCAAAAAAAAACACAGUCUGUGAUCCUCUCUCCGAAGGAAGGAUAAUGAAAAUCAGCCGAUGAUUGUGGUUACUUGAGAAGCCGCAGAGUCUCCGGUGGGUUAUUGCCGGAGCUAUUUCCCGGUGACAUUGCUCUUUCAUCCUCUGUCUCCAGUAGUUUCUUCAUCUCCCGCAUCUGUAAGAAUUUCCAUUACAUUUAUUUUUAACAGAUACUUAAUAUAUAUGAUUACUAUACAAGAUUUAGAUUUCAGAAGCAUAUGGUAUUUUUGGUUUUAUGUAUUCAUUUGUUAUAUGUAUAAUCCAUUAUUUAAGGUUCUUAACUAUCAACUGUAAGAAGCUUUUUUAUACAAGUAAAUCAAGAUUUUGAAAGCA